rnacentral:sRNA from 1 species
GCAUCUUUAGCCUGUGCCUUGUUAACUUUGAAAGAUGAAUUCCAGACAGUUUUGUUGAUGUUCAUUCAUUCAUUCAUUCACCCCUUUCAAGAAACACCCACUGGAUGCCUAAGGCUGGCACUGUUUCAAGUGCUGGGGGGUAGGACAGCCGGUGACGGGCACGCUCUCUGCCUCUGGGGCUCACGGAGCUGAGCCCUGCACCAACUGUGCACCAGGCUCAGCUCUGGCCACCUUUGCUCCCAUCUCAGUUGGACGGUUGCUCAGCCCAGGCCCUGAAAGCAAGUGAGCGCCUCCCACCCUCCCUGGAAGGAGGAAUCAGCAAGGGGCAGCCUUAUCAUUUAACUAAAAGAGAGAGAGCCCCUUAGGGCCCAGGACACCCGAGGGAAAGCUGCCAUCUCUCUGUCGGGUCUGACUAUCAGGAAUUUUGAGCCCACGUCCUUUCCCGACAGUCUGGCGUCAUGUAGAUUUCCCAGAAAUUCUCCCUGUUUACUCUGAGGGGCCUCCCUACAACAGAAGUCGUUCAAAUCCUGCUCUCGGCCGUAAGUCCCUUUCCGGCUGGCUUGGGGCACCCGCGUCUCAGAGCGGUAGACGUAUGGCCAUGUGGCAGCCCCAGAGAUCCAAGCAAAGCUGUCUGGCUGCCUGGCCUGAGCUGACCCCGGAAGGCCUCAAUGUACCCCCCAGCCCCCUGCUUCGGGGGUUCCCACGGGACCCUCACACACACCCUGAACAGACAGUGCAGACCCAGGCCUGGAUUUGGAUUGGUUUCCACACCCCAACUCAAAGCCCUGAUUGGGAGAAACCCCAGUGCAAUUAGACAAAGAGGGAUGG